rnacentral:lncRNA from 1 species
CCAUCCACCCAUGCUUGAGUCAGUCCACAUCCCUGGAUGCGGUCCAUCCAUUCCAGAAGAACCCAUCAUACCCAUCCCAUUAGCUGCCAUUCCUCGGUUAAAGAAUGCUGGGUUGACAUGAGGAGCCACCCCAGCAAGGCCCAUUGCAUUAACAGCAGGAAAUGAAGGAAGCAUCCCAGGAAAACCUGGACCCGAAAAACCUCCAUAACCACCUCCUCGACCCAUGUAUGUUGGAUCAAACCCUCCCAUCAUAUUCUGUGGAUGCAUCAUACCACCCGCAGGACCCCCAAAGCCAGGACCUGCAAGGCCUUGUCCAUAACCUCCACCAGCAGCAGGUCCAGCACCGCUUCCAGCUCCAGAACUACUCCCCAUCAUGUUCUUUGCACCCAUGGGCCCUCUUCCCCUCAUCGCUCCACCACCAGGACCUCUGUUGGGUACACCCUGCCCACCUCGUCCCCAGCCGCCCCUUCCAAAAUUCCUACCUCCAUCACCACUCUGAUAAUUCAUGUUACCACCUCUCCCACCACCGUCGUUCAUAGGUCUCCUUCCCUGAGUCUGUGAUUGAGGCUGGCCUUGGUUUUUGUUCAUGUAAGAAGCUCCCAUCUGUUUCAAUGUUUGAGGAGAAGCAAAAGCAACAACACAUGGUCGUCCAUUGAAAACAUGACCAUUCAUUCCAUCUUUGCACGCAGCUGCAGCAGCUGCAUCAAAGAAUUCGACUUGGCAAUAACCUUUGGAUUUACCACUAGCUCUCUCAUCAAAAAACUUAAUCUCCUUGACCCUUCCAUACUGAGACAAAACACUUUCAAGCUCUGCAUCAGUUGUCCACCAAUGUAAUUCUCCCACAAACAGCAUUGUCCCACCAUUCUCUAGAGGAGGCCGGAUUUGAUUCUCAUUCACCAUUGCACGAUUGACAUUUAUAUUCACACCCAUUUGAUUAGCUGGAAUCAGAGCACCUUGAGGACCAGCAGCACCGGGAUUUAGCACAGGUGCAGGCUCAUUGGCUACUCUUCCCGGCAUAUUAGAAGGAUCAACUCCAGUUCUUGGGGGACCUGACGUAGACCCUUGAAAACCCAUAUUUCUAACAUGGGCAUCAUGAGUUGUCUCUUGGACACUCCCUUUUUGUGAAACAGAAGCUCCAUCUGGGUAAUUACCAGAUCCCAUGUUUGGUCUGUUGACAGCAACCUGCACAUCAUUUUGAGCAGGAAAGUGGGUCCCAGCAUUGGUGUACUUUCCUUCAACAGAAACCCCAGGGACGUUUGACCCUUGUGAGACCCCAGCUUGAACUUGUUGCUCGGGAACAUCAGUUUUCUUAACUUGAAGUCUUCCAUUGCCCACACCAGCGGAUGGGGGAGGUGCCUCAGGCUGCUGAAACUGCAAUAAACCAUCUCCGACAUUAACAUCAUUAUAUAGAUCAUCAUACUCAUCAUCUUCUCCCAUCAACUCUUCAUCUGCAAGAGCAGGUAUAGCUCCACCUCCCUGAUACUGCAUCUUUUGAGCCCCCCCAUACUCCUCCUCCUCAUAAUCUAUUUGUUCUUCAGCCAUCGAAUCCAUUUAAGCUGACCAAGUUACAUCAAAAUAAAGAAAUAUUAUCUCCAUUCCUCCCAUGCAGAACUAUGAACAAAGAUAAAAGACCACUCAAAAUUGUUCUGCUUCUCUACAUCAACAGGUUUUAGAGCCAAAGAUCACCAAUAUUAAAGACCAACAUAGCUCAAAUUUAAGCAGAAUGUGAUUCAUAUGUAUAAACACAUAAUCAACACUUAUUAAUACAAAAGAUCCAUCACCGACCAAGGGAAUACAUUUAAGAACCAUAAGAAAACACUUCACCGUCCAUCCUAAUAACAUUAAAAAAAAAAAGCACAAAUCUGNNNNNNNNNNNNNNNNNNNNNNNNNNNNNNNNNNNNNNNNNNNNNNNNNNNNNNNNNNNNNNNNNNNNNNNNNNNNNNNNNNNNNNNNNNNNNNNNNNNNGGAAGCACUGAAAAACAUCGGAUAAGAAAAAAAAAAUUAACAAAACGCAGAAUCGAAUCGGGUUUUAUUUAGGUACCCUUACUCUUCUCCCCUCUGAAGAUGUAUGUUUUAUUAACCCUUUAGCUUAAAAAACUAACAGCGCUUGAGCAAAUUGUAUUCACCUUUCUCUUGUUCUUUGAUUUCUGUUUGUAACUCUGUUUUCUGCGCUGGUUGUACAGUGAAACCCUUAUGGAUUUGAUUCAGGUUUCGUCUUUCCCAGUCUGCCGAAUGGCCAAAUACGUGAUAUCUUAAGUCUCUAUAGAUUUAAUAUUUAGUUAAAUAAAUUUUUAACCAGCCUUCUCGUAAUUUCCAAGAGUUUAUAGUGGAGAGUUUUCACUGAACUAAAUUUCAUGCUAUUUUCAUAUUUGUCAUUUGUGUUAUUAUACAUUUUACUAUCAUAUAAUUUCCUCAAAAUGAAAUAUUUUAUGACAUAUUAAAAUAAAAAUUUGGAAUACCUAUUAUUAAUAACCAUAGACAUUUUACAUCUUAACAUUUCAACUGAAAUAAUGUGUUGCAUAAAGUUACUAGAUCAUAAUUUUUAUAUGUAUUAUUAUAUCAUUUACUUGACUGAUAACACAUCACUUAACAUAAAAUUUUAUGAUGCUUAAUACUAUUAAUAUUAUAAAAUUAAAUAUUAUCCCAUUAACUAAUUAUUAUUAUUAUUAUUAUUUUAGAAAUUGCAAUUAACUAAGCAUUAGCUUAGUUAAUAGUCAUUAAUAUUUUCAUCCCAUACCUUCCCUACCAUUUAAUUCAAGUGGCUAACUAAAGAAAACAGUGGUUAAGCUCAUAUAAGGAAAAACAAAUUGUCAUGGUUUAUAUGAUUCAAUGUAUUAUUAUUUUAAUUUAAUACUUCUACAUAGGGGUGGGCAUAAACCCACAACCCAUGGGUUUACCCAAACCCAAACCAAAUUAAAUGGUUUGAGUUGGGUAAAUCAUGAAAAUGGGUUAAAUGUGAGUUUUAUAUAGAAAAUCAUUUCAUUAUGGGUUGGGUAUGGUUUACCCAUAGGUCAUGGACAAAACCCCAACACUCAAAUUUUUCAAAUGAAAUAAAUGAAAACAAAAUAAAUGAACACAAAUAAGUGAAAGGCCACCAUUAAGUUUUUUACGGCGUGAUCAAUUAUCAACAGUUAGAAAAUGAAAAUAACAUGUAAAAAUAAAUUUAAAUUAAAUAAAUAUUGUUGUAAAUAACAUAAAUUUUUUUCUUAUUUACAAAAAUAAUUUCUCCCACAUGGAAGGAUCGACAUAGAAAGAGCAUGAGACUCUACUAGUGAUCAAUAAUAACUCGACUUAGACUGGGUCUGAUAUGUUAGAUGGUGGCUAAUUUUUGGUCAAUAAUUGAAUGUAAUGCCCAUAUUAGGCUCUGUACAAAACUUUGCUUACCAUAUGAUGAAAUUAGAACAUAAAGCAUACACACUAUAUAAUAUCAGAGUGUAAAUAAAAUUAAACAUAUAAAUAGACAACAUAACGCAAAACUACCAAAACGAUAAAUAAAAAUAAAUAUUGCAUAAUUAAAUAAAUAACAAGUGGCAAAAUUUAUUAUUAGAUUGUUAUGUCAUGUUUGUGAAAGUUUAUUAUUAAAGUGUAUGUUCUUAUUUAUUGAUAAAUAAUAAUUUUUGCAAUUAAACUUUAUUUUGAUUUUCUAGUAUUCUUUAAUUUGAGGAUUAAGUUAUUGUAAAAUUUAUAAUUUUUAUCCACUAUAUUUUUUUAUAUUUUAAUAUCAAUUUAAUAAUUAAUAACAAUUAAUAAUUAUUAUAAUUUUGAUAUAAUUAAAUUUUAUUAAAAUAAAAAUUAUUUUGAUAAUAAAAUUCAAACCAAACCCAAAUGGGUUGGUUUGGAUUGGGUUAAAAAUAUUUGGGUUGGUUUGGGUUGGAUCUAAAUUUUUAUAGUUUGGUUUGGUUUGACUUAAAAUCCAACCCAAACCAACCCAUGCACACCCCUACUUCUACACAUGGAAAUAACUAAAUUUAAUACUCCUACACGUGGAGAUAACUUUUUUGUAUAUGUCUUAGUAAUGUGAUUGUUACUUAUAUGCAAUAUAAUGUCAUUAGUUAAAAAGUAUGACUAUUUGUACCCUAUAAAAUAUUUUGAACACCUUUUAUUAAAAUUUUAAUAUAAAUUUAUACUUAACACACCCUCUUCACACCAAUGAAAAUAUUUUUUCUCACAAAACUAUGUUUCUUUUCCUCAAAAUUGCUAAGUGCGUAAUAGCUUGACAUUAUGCAUACAUAUAAGAGCACACAUACAUAAAAUCAUAUGUUCUUAAAGUUAAUAUUGGCGGGAGGGUAAACUUGAUUUAAAAUUUCAUAAAUGUUUAUGUCCUCAAUCUUAAGCUUUAUGCAUACAAUUAUGAAUAUUUAAUCUCUACUCAUAAAAACUAAAAAUGAAGGAAUAAAGAACAAACAUUUGUAAGUUCUUGACACUAAUGGUGCGUUUACCUCAUGAGAAUGAGAAUGAGGUGGAAUGAGAAUGAGAAUGAGAUUUCAAUGUUUAUUUGACAAAAAUAAAUGAGAAUGAGAAUGUACUAAAAUGUCAUUGAUGUGUUUACUUGACAAAAUAAAUGGGAAUGAGGAAUGAGAAUCAGAAUCAAUUUACCAAAAUACCCAUAGUAUUAAUAAUUAAUAAAAAUAAUUAAUUUAUCAUUAUUAACAAUAUUAUCAUUAUUAUUUUAGUUAUUAUUAAUUAUUGUUAAUAUUAUUUUUAUUAAUAUUAUCAUUAUUAACAUUUAUUAUUAUUAUUAAAUUUUAUUAACUUUAUUAUUUUAGUUAUUAAUAAUUAUUUUUAUUAAUAUUAUCAUUAUUAAAUUUAUUAUUUUAGUUAUUGUUAAUUAUUGUUAAUAGUAUUUUUAUUAAUAUUAUCAUUAUUAACAUUUAUUAUUAUUAUUAUUAUUAUUACUAUUAUUAUUAACUUUAUUAUUUUAGUUACUAUUAAUUAUUGUUAAUAUUAUUUUUAUUAAUAUUAUCAUUAUUAACAUUUAUCAUUACUAAAAUAAUAAAUUCAAUAAAAUUUAAUUUUAAUAAUAAUAAUAAAUGUUAAUAAUGAUAAUAUUAAUAAAAAUAAUAAUAACAAUAAUUAAUAAUAACUAAAAUAAUAAAGUUAAUAAAAUAUUAUAAUAAUAAUAAAAUUAAUAAUAAUAAUAACAACAAUAAGGAUAAUAUUGUUAAUAAUGAUAAAUUAAUUGUUUUUAUUAAUUAUUAUUUUUAUCAUUAUUUUUAUUGUAAAUAAUGAUAAUAUUAAUGAUAAUAAUAAUAAUAAUAAUAAUAAUAAUAAUAAUAAUAAUAAUAAUAAUAACUAAAAUAAUAAAGUUACUAAAAUUUAAUAAUAAUAAUUAUUAUUAUUAAUGACAUUUAAAAUAAUAAAAUUAUUUGUGAUUUGAAUAAGGGUAAUUUAGGAAAUAUGAAAAAAUUAGAAGGAUAGAAAAAUAAAUUUAUGUUUCAUUCCCAUUUACACAUUUUCAUUCUCAAUCCCCCAUGGGAAUGGGAUUCUCAUUCCUUAUUCCCAAAUUGUGUAGGACCCAUAUAUUUUAUUCUCAUUCUCAAAUUACAUUUUGUCAAAUAAACAUAAGUUUCAUUCUUAUUCCUCCAUUUCAAUUUCCCAAACACACCAUAAGAACUUAUUCAGAUGAAUAUUAAUUUUGUCUUACAUUAAUUACAGUCCUUUUUUAUCCGUCUCAUUCCAUAAGACGAAUGGAAAUAUACUACUCCGUUCAAUAAUGCAACUCUACCAACUCCACUGAAGGAGACGAUGUUAAAUGUGUAAAACGCACUAAAUGCAUGCUUGGAUCAUAAAAGGGAGUUGCUUGGAGCCUUGAACUUGUAAAAUAACAGUAAUGAUGCUGUAGGAAUUGGCAGCUCUGCUUCUGUAGGAAUCUUGGGACAUGCUGCAAAUAUGAUUGGUAAUGAAUAUUACACGGAGAUAAUCACAUAGAUAAUAUUAGAUCAUAGAAUUUAUAUGUUUACACAUUAAAAAAAAAAAUAGUUGAAUCAUUUAAAUAGAGACUUGGUAACGUAGAAAACUGAAGCAAAAUAACAAGAAUUAUGUUAAAUCAAAGACGAUUUGGUUGGAAUUUGGCAAAGAAAUGGAACCCUAUUUUUUACUAAAAUUAGGCAAAAGAAAGCUUCUUCCCAAUUUGUUAAAUUAAUUCCUAUUUACCAGCUCAGAAUGGCUAUCCUGAGUUUGUGGAAAUAAAGCAACGGGUGCCACCACAAGAUAUGAUGAAUUCCCCUAAUCAAGGACAAACCCAUCAGCAUAAAUAAACCCGACAAUCUCUUCCUCAAAUCAUCCCCAGCAUUUGAACGAUCUGCAUUGUUCUCUAUAUUCAGUAGAGAACCUUGCAUAUAAGGGGACAAAAAAUUAAAAAUAAUAAAAAUAAUAAGACGAAAACACAAACCCCAUCGGACAUGAUGGCUCGCCUGGUCAUUGUUCUUGCUCUCAUUUUUGUAGCCAUUAUCAGUGUGGCCUCAGCCCAGCAGGAACCCAUUAUUCAGCCACAACCCAAUGAACCCCAUCAGCCUAAUCAGCCGCAGGAACCCAAUCAGCCACAGCAGCCUAAUCAGCCCCAGGAACCCAAGCAGCCUGAUCAGCCACAGACACAGCCACCUACCCAGCAACCACAGCAGCCUGAUCAGCCACAGACACAGCCACCUACCCAGCAGCCCCAGCAGCCUCAGCAGCCAAAUCAGGCACCCGGUGAGGCACCAACACAGGCACCUCCAGCCGGUGGUGCACCCGCACCGGCACCCGGAGAAGCCCCAGCAGGAGGCCCAAGCAGUGGACCAGCUGCUGGACCUGGACCUGCAGAAGGCCCCUCUGGCGAGGCUAAGUUGCCUGAGGUUGCAAUGCCAGGACCAGUGGGCGAGGGAGAUGAGAACAAGUCGGAAGGGAGUGGUGCAAGCUCCCUCAAAGUCUCCGCCCUCGUCGCUGGUGUUGCAGUCGCUGCUGCUUUCUUCUACUAAUCAUGAGCAAAUUAGCUACGUCUACAAAACCACGUACCCGAUUGACUAACAUUCAUCGGUUGUCUAGAGCAAAGCUCAUUUGAUAUAUGGAUUUGUUUGUCAAUAAAAUUCGAGGUUUUACGUAUCAUGAUGAGUUUUAAAAUAUUGUGGAUUGGAGAUAUUUGGAUCUAUCAUUGAAUAAUUUCUAAGUUUGACCAAUUUUUAUCAUCAUAUGUGCCUGUGGGUGCCUCUUCCGAGUUGAGGCUCGUAUAUAAAAAUAUUAUCCAUUAUUUACGUCCUGCAGGCUGCAUGCCGGCUGAUCGAUGCAUGUCUUUAUCUUUGGUCAAAUUGCCUUUUGUUCUUUAUGGAAUAGGGUGGUGCUUAUUCCUGAAGAAAUGAAAUUGCUCGCAUUCAAUCACAAUAUUGUCACGAUUUGCUUUAAUUUAAAGAUUUUAUUAAUCCCGCGUAUUUAAAUAAAUAAUAUCCUGGCUUUAAUUUAUUGAGAUGAAAUUAAAACGAGACUUUGGAAUCCCUGAUCUGACGAGCGCUUGUUGCAGCAAGCAAUAAUAAAAGGUGACAAACAAAGUAAAUGAAAUAUAUAUCCGGAUCCCCUGAGUUACAGUUAACGCAACUUACAGGAGCUGCUUUUAGGCUUGGCAAAACCCCGGGUCCGGUCCGGGUUUGGUGCACCCCGGGUCCAGUCCGGGUUUGGUGCAACCCGGGACCGGACCGGAUGCCAAAAAUUGAAACCCGGACUCGGACAAAACCCGGUUUUUGCAUGUCCGGUCCGGGCUUGAGCCCGGCGUGCCCCGGGUCCGGGUUUUGUCUUCCGGGCUUCUAAGCCCGCAAACAAUUAUUUUAAAAAAAAAUCUUUCAUUUUUAUUAAGAUGUAACAGAUUGAAAAUAAAUUGAAAAUAAACGAUGGCUCCUUUUUAAUCAGCAAAGUCAUACAACUAUCCUAAAUUGAAAAUAAAUUUGAUUAAGAAUUUAAGAUGUAACAGAUUGGUAGAAGUUAUCCAAUAAUUGUCAAAGCGGCAGAUGGUAAGUGGCAUGCACCAAGCAACUUAAUUAAUUAAACAAUAAGCUUAGUCAUGACUGAUAUAACUAACAAAAUUUGCUGUCAGCAUUGAUUAAAAAUCCACUUCAAUAGUGCUAUUGUAUAUUACACGAGCAGGCCAAUAAGGAUCCUUCACAAAAUUGGCCAUAUUUUCCUCAUAUUCUACGGUCAAAACCAUUUAGCCUCACAGCAACAGCAAGUCAGCAACCAUGCACAAAAUUGACCGAAGAUAAACACGAACAGCAACAGCCAACACCAACAGAGAAGCAAUCGGCAAAAAUGCAACUGGGAAGACAAAAUAUGGAAGGAAAAAAAUCAAUACCUGCGGCUGGUAGUGGUGGCUGUGAUGGCAGAGUGAUGGACUGAUGGUGGAUGACAAAGUGGCAAUGUAGAGUUGGAGACGAUGGUGCUGACGCUGACAGCGCCGGAGGGGGUUGCACUGCGCUGCUGCCGCUACACGAACGACUCCCGUCACAGCCGCAACUGAGCAAAACCAAGUCAGCAAAUGCAAACGAGAAGAGAUGAUGUCGAGUGCCGAGUGCCGAGGGGCGAAGGUGACAGACUGACGGUGGCAGCGUCGCUGCUUAUGCCUUUGGGUUUGGGUGUUUUACGAUUUGGGGAAUUAAGGACUUUCGGAUUUGGGUGUUUUGACUUUUGCGAUUUGGGUUUGGGUGGGUAACUGGUUUUAGUUUUUUUUUUUUUAAUUAGGAAAACGGGUCCGGGUCCGGGUUUCAGGUUUUUAGUGCUGAACCCGGACCGUGCCCGGAUAUGUCCGGGUUUUAAAUUCUGAAACCCGGAUCCGCUUUUUCUGUAUAUGCGGUCCGGGUUUUGCCCGGACCGGAUUGGCCGGGUCCAGGCCGGAUCCGGUCCGGGCGGGUUUUUUUGACACCCCUAGCUGCUUUAGUCUUCUCUGAAUUGUUGCCGUAAAAUAUCGUGGAGCCCUUGUGCUUUAUAUUAUUGAAAAUUUAUAAAUAUAAGUAUUACGAAACUUUCUGCAUUGUAAAAUUUCGUUCAGACUCUUGCACUCUAUUUUAUUUCAUUGAAGCCUUUAGAGUAUCAAAUUCAUCCCCUAUAAUUUUUAAAUUCUCAAAAUACCCUCCAUUUAAGUAAAAUAUCAUUAUAAUUAAAUGGAUUAUAGUUAUAAUUACAAUUACAAUAAUUAUUUUAUUAUAAUUAUAAUUAUAAUUUUUAAAUGGAUUAUUAUAAUAAUUAUUAAUAACAAUAAUAAAAAUUUAUAAUUAAUUAAUCUAUUAACAAUAAUUAAUAAUAAUUUUUAGUUAAAUUGUUAAUAAUAAUACUAAACAAUAAUUGUUAUGAAUAAUUAAUUUUUGAAUAAUAAUAAUCACAAUAAUUAAAAUAUAAUAAUUAUGAUAAAAAUUAAUUAAGGAUUUUAUAGUAACCUUCAAGGAUAUUCAUUAUCAACAAAAAUUUUAAGGAUAUUAUCAUUCAUCUUCUUUAUAAUAUCAUCUCAUAAUAAUUAAUAUUUUCAUGAUAAAAGGAUUAACAAAAUAAAAAGCAAAUUUCCUUUGAAUUCAUCCAUUUCCACUAUUAACUUCUUUUCAUAAGCAACCUUUAUCGAUAAUUGAAGCCAUCAUUAGACUCAUCAUAGAGAAAGAGAGGGAGAGUGGGGAAGAAGAAAUGGGGAAAAAAAUGAAAUGUUUACAAUUUUAUAAUGCAUUCACUAAACAAUAAUCAAAAUUAAUUGGAAACAUAAUGAGUUAGAAUCGAAAUGAGGAAUUGGAAUCAGAAUAAUUUAUUUACUUGAAUUGCAAGAAUCGUAAUUACAAUGAGCUAUAUUACUAUUUAUAUGUUUUAUUUUGUUUUAGAAUCAAAAUCGGAAUGAGUUAAAUUGUAACAAAUUACUAUUAAAAAAUCCUUAAUUAAUUUUUAUUGUAAUUAUUAUUUUGUAUUUUAAUUAUUGUGAUUAUUAUUAUUCAAAAAUUAAUUAUUAAUAAUAAUUAUUGUUAAUUAUUAUUAUUAUUAUUAACAAUAACUAGAAAAUUAUUAUUAAUUAUUGUUAAUAGAUUAAUUAAUUAUAAUACUUUAUUAUUAUUGUUAUUAAUAAUUAUUAUAAUAAUCCAUUUAAAAAUUAUAAUUAUAUUUAUAAUUACAGUUAAGGGUGGGCGUUUGGAUCGGGUUAACCGGAUUCAAAUUUCUAACCCGUUCGGCUUGGAUUUCGGUUCGGGUUGAACCCGAAUCAAAAUCGAGACCCGAUCGGGUUAACUGAAAAAAAAAAGUCAGAACACCAAAAAAUCAAAACCCUUAUUUCCUUUUUUCUCUUCUUUGCACUCCACAUCGAGACAAGCACAACCUCAACCCUAGCACACUCACAAUCUCACUCACACACACCACCGGUGUCAAUUCAACUAUGUUCAGGUGCAUCGGCGUUGCAGUUUCAGAUUCAAAUGUUGCCUCCUUCUUCGUUUCAGAUCUAGUCUUCUUGGGCCCUUCGCUUUAGAUCCAGUCACUGCCUCCUUCUUCGUUCGUAGUCGUUGGGCGCACAAUGUGAUGUUAAUGUCGGUGAUGUUUACGAUUCCGAUGAUGUUAUUUUUAGUGAUGUUUGGAAUUUCAUUUUCGCUGAUGUUUGCAUUUCGUUGCCUCCUUAUUCGUUAUUGUUAAUUGAAUGUAUGUUUUUGGAAGGAUUUGGUUUUCGGGACUUGGCAAACAAAUCUAAUCUCAGCUUCUAUUCCUCUGUUGAUACCCGUUUGCACUUAUCCAUUAGAAUUUUAUUCUGACGUUGCAACUCUCUGCAUAGCAACUGUAGUUUGUCUUUAACAAGAAUGGCUGCAUCUAUUUCAGCGAGAACUUGUAGUGUUGGCAAAAACCCGGGUCCGGUCCAGGUUUGGCCCUGCCCGGGACUAGACCGGAUCAAUAAAACAGCUGCCCGAACUUGGAUUGUGCCCCAUUUUUUCACAUCCUGUCUGGGUCAGGCCCGGCACGUCUCGGGCAUGGGUUUUUUAUCCGGACUUUCUCUGCCCGGAUAAAUUACUGGUUUACUGUGGUUAUUAAAGAUUCCAAUGAAAUCAACCUUGCAAAUCAUUCCAUUUACGGCAAAUCAAUUCCAAAGCCAGCAAAGCCUAAAAUGCAAAAGUUUGAUAUCCAUGGAGCAAUGUUUGUCGUUCUUUGCCAAAAGAAUAGCCUGAAAAACGUGAGUCGAUGAUCUGCACUGCGUGGGUUCGAGUGGCUGGUGCUGGGUUUACUGCUGGCUGCUGCUGAGGUGGCUUCAUGCAUCGUGGUGGUGUGCUGGCCGAGUUUGUUGGAGGCUGCUGCUGUGGUGAUUUCGCGUGGCUGCUGGGUUCGCAAAUCGCUACUUUGCUGCUGGUGGUGGUGCUCGUGGCUGCUGGAUUCGGUGAUGAUUGGUCGUGGGUGCUAUUGCCGUGCUGGUUUUGAUCGGUUAGGUAAUGGCUGCUUGAGAGAUGUGUAAGAAGUGCAGACUGCACAACAUUUAAUUUCAAAGAUUUUUUUUAAGGAGAAAUGCAAAUUAUGAAGAAAUUUGUGCUAUUAGAACGAAAAAAAAAUGGAUUGAUUUGCAGAUUUUUUAUUUGAAAAGGAUUCAUGCUAGAGAAAGCCAAAAGCAAGGAAUAAAAAAGGAAAAAAAAAAAAAAAACAAAGAACCAUAGUCAUAGAACAGCACGUGAGGGCUAUCAAAUGGUGCUUAAAGCACUCAAGAGUCAAGAUCUAAGCCAAGUGGUGGUCAAAGCACUCAAGAGCCAAGAGCUUGAGUGAUUUUGCUUUUUGCAAUCAGAUGAUGAUUUUGCAGGAUGUAUAAGACGCUUUUGCAAUCAGUGCUGGCUUGGAGUGUUUGCUGGGGGUGUUUGCUUUUUGCAGCCGGCAGCUUGUGUUUCCUUGGAAUGUUGAGUGGUGGCCUUUAGCUUGGAGUGUUGGAGAGCUGGAGGUGCGGCAGCCGUCAGCAGUGCUUGUGUUUGCAUACAAAUAGGAUAGAAAAUUAGGGUAAGUUUCAAUUUUGGGUGUAUUACAUUUAUAUUUUCUUUCUUUUUCUUUUUUUUUUUUUUACUUAUCAAAACCCAACACGGAUCCGGGUUCUGGGUUUUUUGUGCCAUAACCGGAACCGGACCUGGAAGUAUCUGGGUUUUAAAUUCCAAUAACCGGACUCGUAUUAUUUGUAUAUGCGGUCCGGAUUUUGCCCGGACCUGAUUAGCCGAGUCUGGGCUGGGUCCGGGCGGAUUUUAUUGCCACCCCUAAAUACAUUCUAGAUUAUGCCUAUUUGCUUAACAUCAGUUUCAAUUGGCCUUGAUAUGUGCUCCAAACUCUUGCAUAUAUAGAAUUGAACUUUUAUUUUUAUUCUGAUUUAAGAUUUAAGAUUUGAGAAUUUAAAAUUUUGGUUGGUUAAUGACGAAUGUGUUAAAAUAUAUGUUUCUAUAAUGUUGAUUUUUAUGAUAACAAACAAGAUUAAGAAUGAUAAAUCUUUUAAGCUCAAAUUAUUUUUUAUACAUUUUAAAUAAAUCAUUAUUUUUACAUUAUAAAGGUUUUAUAUUUAAUGAAAAAAUGAUUUUAUGAAAUUGAUUGUUUUUAUUCUUUUUAAAUAAAUCAUUAUUUUCACAUUAUAAAUGUUUCAUAUUUAAUGGAAAAAUGAUUUUAUGAAAUUGGUUGUUUUUCAAAGUUUAUGGUUUAAUUGAAAGAAUUUUGAAAACUUUGAAAUAAACAAGUAUUGCUUGAAAUUUUGGAGAAUGACUUAUUUGAAAAGUGUCAUAGCAUUUUGGACUAUACCAUAAUUUCAGAAAGUUUCGGGAUUAACAAAGCAUUACGUAGAAAUUCUGAAAUCGGACCUAUUUGUAAAGUUUCAUAACGUUUUAGGUCGUAAUAUAAUUUUAUAAAGUUUUGGGAUUAAAUUAUAAUUUUAGAAAAUAUGUCACUGUAGCAGUUACUGUAGAAAACGGCGAUCCGACAUCUUGAUAAUGACUCGCCGACAUCUAACAGAAUUGAAGAUUAGCCUCUGAACCUAAACGGCGAUCCGACAAUUUUGAUAAACGGCUCGCCGAUAUCAACCAGAACUGAAGGGUAGUCUCUGGACCUAAACGGUGAACCGACAUGUGUGAUAAACAGCUUGCCGAUAUCAACCAGUAGCCUUUGGACCUAAACGGAGAUCCGACAUAUAGUUAACGGCGACCCGACAAUUUAAAAAUCAGCCCCAACGGUCAUAUUGACUAGUUAAAAGACGAUCCGACAUCUAGUUAGCGGCGAUCCGACAGUGUGCAGAAAGUCAAUAACGGCUGGUUUUCAGCUCCAACUAUAAAUAAGCUCAAUCUAAUUCAAACAAGAAGAAUUCCAACGAUCAUCAUUGAGCAAAAUAUUGAGAAUACAACUUUCAUUGAACUUUAAAUUCUUGUAUUCAUUUCAUUCAUUCACACAUUGAGCUUUCAUUUGUGAUCAAACACAUUGUGUGUGAGAGAUUCAUUUGUAAUCUUUUUUGUAAAAUCAAGUUAAAAGAUUGUAAGUGUUGGGAUACACUUGGAUUAAGAGAUUGAGGAUAAUCUCUUGUUGUAAAGGUCCAUUGACACCUUGGAAGUCAAUUGUAAGCGUUUGAAGCCUUGGGAGACUAGCUUAGUGAAAUCCUCAAGCCCGGUGAGCUUGGAGGCGUGGACGUAGGCGGGAAUUGCCAAACCACGUAAAAAUCAUUGUGUUUGUUUUCUCUUCCCUUACUCUUUUAAUAUUGUGCAUGAUUGAAUUUAUUGUUUUCAAUUUGAUUAAGGUAAUAGAUUAAAUUGUUGAGUGGUUUGCUUAGCUUAAAUUUUAAAAUCUCAAUUCACCCCCCCUCUUGGGUUGCCUAGUUAGUAUUUCAGAAUGUUUGGACAAUCAAACUAUUAUAACCUGAUUUCAACCCAAACUGAAAUUUCGAUCAGAAUUACUAACCCAAACCGAACCGAUUUAAUUUCGAUUCGGUUUGGUUUGGGUUCGUAUUUUGAACUCGAUUGGGUUGAAACCCAAACCGAAAUCCGAACAACCCGAACUGAAACCUAAUUUGCCCAUCCUUAAUUACAAUAAAAUAAUAAUUAUAAUUAUAAUCCAUUUAAUAAUUAUUAUAUUUUAUAUACAUGAAGGGUAUUUUGAGAAUUUAAAAAUUAUAGGGGAUGAAUUUCAUACUCUAAGGGUUUUAAUGAAAUAAUAUAGAGUGUAAGGGGCUGAACGAAAUUUUACAAUACAAAAAGUUUCACAAUACUUAUUAAUAAAUUGUGAAUAAUGUAAAGCACAAGGGGCUCAGAGAUAUUUUACAGUAACAAUUCAGCAAACGGAGAAACACCUGCAAGUUACGUUAACUGUAACACGGGGGAUCCGAUCCGGAUCCAUAUAGGGGGAUCCUAUAAGGAUAUAUUGACAACCUAAGUUCGUAUCCGAGGAUAAGUACAGAUCCUUGAGGACAAUAAUAGACGGCAAUUAAACUUUGCGUUUCUUUCAAAUAUUCGAUAUUCCUCCAUACAUCCGGUGUCAUAUAAACGGGACGAAUUUCGUCGCCGUAGCCGGUGAGUGCUAAAAGUUAAAGGUUUUCAGAAUUAUAUACCGCUGCCUUCUCCAACUUGCUGAGCUUUCAGCUUUGCACUCUUGAAUUCUGAAUACGACAUUAAUUUUUGUAAUUAGACUGACAUUAACAUUUAACCGGCCCGGCCGGGAACUUCAAGUUGUUAAAUAUGACACGAACAUUCAGUAUCGGGAACCACGUUGUGUAUAAAGUAAAGAAAAUGCACAAGAAACUCUUUCAACAUCAUCAAAUCAAGGGCCAGUGCACAACGCUGGCAUUUGCAUUGAGCUUUCUGAAACUGAAACUGAAACAGUAACAGCACAGAUUGGCUGAUAAAAUACAUAACUAUAAAUUAUGGAGAUAAAAUUUUUGGAAUUAAAAAAGAUUCCUGAAGUGGCAGAUUAAACUGGAGGAUUGGUCACCAGAUAGAUGGAACAGACGCGUACACUACACAGGCAGUUAGAAAUAUUUAUACAUGGAACUAACAAGAAUCAGUCAUACCCAACUCCUAAAUUACAUGACAAAACUAAAGAUUCACAAAGCAGAACUGGAUGAAGCGAGUGAUCUUGUAAAAGAAUACAAAAGCCAAGAAUAAUGCACGAGAGAGCAUUUAAGUAAAAAUUGCAGCUGCCAGUGCGGGGAAAGGCAGCUUUCCACAUUAAGCAAGUAGAAACCCUCAGAACAACAUAGUCAGGUGGGUAUCUGAGAUUAUGCCUCCUUAAAACUCAUAAUCUCAUUCCCCAGACAGGAAACCUAAUGUACAUUUGAGCAGAACAUUUCAAAUCCUCUCCACAAACCACAAAACUUUCAUCCCUAAUCACUUUUCUGGUAUACAAAAACAGAGACAAUGAUCUAUCUAUCAAUAAAAAUCCAUCGAAAGAAACAGUACAAAUGAAAAUCAAAUCUGAUUACAACAAAUUCAUACUGCAUGACAGAGGAAAUGUACAUGGAAUGUGGCAUCAUGCCUUCACCUGCAACAUUCUCAAAACAACCAAAACGCUCAGUUCCAGCCCAAUAGAAUGAUGCAGAAGUCCACAAUUUACGACUCCCAUGUGCAGGUAAACCUCACAACUUACAUAGACAAUAAUAAUAAUAAAGGUUAAAAAAAAAGGCACACUUCCAAUGUUCCUUUAUCUUUUAUGUUGAAACUACAACUAGUUCUACACAUGUUACAAUAAUCAAUUACAAGUGAAACAAUUCCAGGUUACAAAUUACUAAAAGCUCAUCACUGACUAUCCUAAAUCAGUUACACUGCAUCAAAUGUAAACACAAUUGUGCCUCAAAGUCAGUACAACAGUCUUACAAGCUCACAGCGAGCCACAAAUAGUCAAAUAAAUAAUGAAAGAGGCCUUUACAUGUGAUGGACCUAAUACAUGUAACUCAAUUUUACAAAAACAUGAGAUGAUGCUUUACAAAAUGGUAUAUAAACCUAUUAAACAAAAUCCUUUCCAUUUUUUGACAAUUUCAUGGCUUCAACUAUUUCUAGGCAUUCUCUUCCAGGAGAGCAGUUCAAACAUUCUUAAGGGCCGCUCGAGGGGGCAAAAAAGUGAAAGCCAAAAUUGUCAAGGCUUGUUUGCACACUUGACAGACCAAAGCCAAUAUUUGAGAAAGCGAAUGAAUGCAGCCCAACAAACACAUCUUCCUUGGUUGCUACUCCACUCCCUGAAUAUGGUGAUAAAAAGAAAGCCCCCAUGUCAAUAGACUUGGAAAAAGAAAACCUACCAGCCAAAGAGGCCACUAAACUUUCCUCAAAGAGCACUACAUGAUUUUAGUACCAUAUUCCUACAAUCAAUGAAUCAAUCACAAUCACCCAUGAAUGGGGACCUCAUGUAAGUCCUACAUGAUAAACAGCCCAGAUUUCAUAACAGGGAAGUAAAGCCCUUAACUGGAAGGUGUUUUGCUCUCUUUGAUCAGAUAGCAUAUCAAACUCAAGUACGUCCAAAUCCACCCAUUCAUAACAAAAGUCUAAGGGAAUCACACUUCUACAAAACACAAAUACAUUAUUUGCCAUGUGAAUUUACUAAAACUACCGUACCCGGCUGAAACUCACAACACCAGAUAUGAGAACUUUUCAUUCUAGGAUAAACCAUAAUAAAAUAAUAUCAUACACUAGAAAUUAGGUAAAACUUUCUAUUAUACUAGUUACCACCAAAAUAACGGAACUUCUAAAAUAUAUAAUGAUUUGGAAGAUAGUUCUUUUAUGGCUAAAAUAGUGUUUUCGAAGAAGAAACAAAAGUUCAAAUAGCUGUUUUAAUAUUUAAAAGUAUAUUGAUCUUCAAGAGAACUAAUCAAAUUAAAAUAACUAAUUGAAACUUCAAAGAACAAUCACAAACGAUCAGUAGAAAGAAAAAGAAAGAGGGAAGCAAGAAAAGAAAGCAGCCAACCAUGCCUUCAAGAAAAGCUUCUCUCUCUCUCUCUCAUUUUUCUUCGUGAUUUUUUUUCUUCUUUUCGAGUAAAACCAAAAAGAUUGUAUCCGAAGGACAAGAAAAAGAUAUAAAAAAAUUCAAAAAGGUGAACAAGCAAUCCACUGAACCAGCAAACGAAUCAAACAAAAACAGAAGCACCAAAAAACAAACACUACUCACGACUUCAAGAAAAGCUUUAAGAAUCAGAUUCUUAGUUGACAUUCACUAAGAUACGAAAGAGAAGAUUGGAAGCCAUUUACUAGACCAACAACUCCAAAAAUUGGCCACCAUAUCCGCUUAUCCUUACCCCCAAUUCCAAGCGAAAAAACCUAAAAGAAUUUAACAUUCCAAGUAAUCCACCAGUCCAUAAGCAUAAGCAGCACCACACAUACAUUGUGGAUAUAAUUCAAAAUGGGAGGAUGAAUAACAUAGACUUUAAUAAAUAGUUACGAUGCCCUAGCAAUAUUUGAAACAUUGCUAGUAUGACUUGCUGAUCAAAUAAAACUCACUUGAAAAGAAAAUAAUAAAGGCAUGCUACAUAUCAGCUGUUGCUUCUUCUGAGGAAGGUCAAUUUGAUGGGAAGAUACAAAGACCACAUAUUAAACAUUGUCAAGUCCGAGAGAAACCCCUGAAGUAGGACUUCAUUUUCUAAGACAAGACUAAGAAUCCUUAAUUAGUUGACCAUCAGUGGUUCGCACAGAAGGAACAACAUCCUCCAUCUUGACUUCUUCAUAUGUCAGCAUCAUCAGCACCAUCAGUAAGACUCAACUAUUCUAAUAAAAGACAGAUGAAUUCUAAUUCCAAAUUCAAAUCUAAAUGUCAUUUGAAGUGAUACAAAGGACCCAGAAGGCAGAAGGACACAGCUAUCACAUGCAUCAGUUUAAAUAUUAAAGUCAUGCACUGACUCAGACUUACGAGCACCCUUUAAAUACAAUCCCAAUAAAAAUAAUGGGUUGGCAUGGAAAAAAAACCAUAUUCUAUAAUCAACUAUAAAAAAACCAUAUUCUAUAAUCAACAACUACGAGAAGACACAGGUGUAGAAAGCAAUACGGACAACUAAUUCAAACUAUGAUAUAAUUAGAGUAGGUUUUGUAACAUGUGACCAGAAGCCCCAAAACCAUUGUCUCAGAAAUAGAUUCAGUAGAAUAAAUAUAAAGCCAUUGGGAUACUCGGCAAGGAUAUCAAGAGUCCAACCCUAGAUAGAAUAUCCCCAUUGGCAUGCAACUCAAAGUCACUCAUCAUUUUUUAACAAACAAAAUAAGUGUUGGCAGUAACGUUUAUAGAAUGCAGUACGAAAGAACAGAGAAUCUAUGCUUCCCUUCUACAAAUAUGAGAACUUACUUUUCCCUCAAGAAACCACUCUGCAUUUAGGCCACAGUAACCAGGAAAAGCGAUAGGUAGAAGCAUUGUAACAACCCAAGAGCAAUACAGUAAGAUAUAGAGAAUAUGAGGUCUUGUAUGACAUGCCACGGAAGAAUGAAAAGCGUGACUCUGUCACUCUGAUGGUAGCCGUCUCCUCUUCCCAUAGUCCACAUCUCUCGAUCGAGAUCUGUGGUCUUCAUCUGGGAUUGCUCCGGACCUGCUCCGAGAUCUUGAAGACGAUUGCCCCCUGUCCCAGUUGUCAUCAUAAGUUGAGUCACGAUCUCUUUGUCGACGAUCACGAUAACUAUCUUUUUCUUCCCUGUGUCUGUGAUCUCUGUGAUCCCUUUCAGAUCUGUCCCAGUCUUGUUCCCUCUCCUCUCGGUGCCUCCUAUCUGUGUUCCCAGACCAGUCACGCUCAGAACCACGAUCCUUUUCCCGGGAGGCAGUAGUUGACCUUGCUCCUUUUUCAUGACUUGCCUCCCCAUAUCCAUAAUCAGAAGCACCAUCAUCACCACCAUAACUUGACUCCCUUGUCCUUCGUCCAUGUUCCUCUCCCACCCAUCCACCCAUGCUUGAGUCAGUCCACAUCCCUGGAUGCGGUCCAUCCAUUCCAGAAGAACCCAUCAUACCCAUCCCAUUAGCUGCCAUUCCUCGGUUAAAGAAUGCUGGGUUGACAUGAGGAGCCACCCCAGCAAGGCCCAUUGCAUUAACAGCAGGAAAUGAAGGAAGCAUACCAGGAAAACCUGGACCCGAAAAACCUCCAUAACCACCUCCUCGACCCAUGUAUGUUGGAUCAAACCCUCCCAUCAUAUUCUGUGGAUGCAUCAUACCACCCGCAGGACCCCCAAAGCCAGGACCUGCAAGGCCUUGUCCAUAACCUCCACCAGCAGCAUGUCCAGCACCGCUUCCAGCUCCAGAACUACUCCCAAUCAUGUUCCUUGCACCCAUGGGCCCUCUUCCCCUCAUCGCUCCACCACCAGGACCUCUGUUGGGUACACCCUGCCCACCUCGUCCCCAGCCGCCCCUUCCAAAAUUCCUACCUCCAUCACCACUCUGAUAAUUCGUGUUACCACCUCUCCCACCACCGUCGUUCAUAGGUCUGCUUCCCUGAUUCUGUGACUGAGGUUGGCCUUGGUUUUUGUUCAUGUAAGAAGCUCCCAUCUGUUUCAAUGUUUGAGGAGAAGCAAAAGCCACAACACAUGGUCGUCCAUUGAAAACAUGACCAUUCAUUCCAUCUUUGCA